rnacentral:rRNA from 1 species
UACGAAGGGGGCUAGCGUUGCUCGGAAUCACUGGGCAUAAAGCGCGUGUAGGCGGCAUCGUAAGUCGGGUGUGAAAUCCCUCGGCCCAACCGAGGAAUUGCGCCCGAAACUACCUUGCUUGAGGACCAGAGGGGAGCCUGGAAUUCCUGGUGGAGCGGUGAAAUGCGUUGAUAUCAGGAGGAACACCGGCGGCGAAGGCGAGGCUCUGGCUGGUUACUGACGCUGAGACGCGAAAGCUAGGGGAGCAAACGGG